UGGGAGGAAUUAAGGAUUGGAACCAGGAAGAGGGAAGACUGGGAGGAUUACAAUGAGGAAAACACAACAGAACCAGUGUCAGCUUCUGUUUCUCAGUAUCAUCUUACUCCCAGUUUCAUCAUUCUGGGCCAGAGGACUCACGCUGCCAUCUGAUGCCUGAGUGAAGUGGGCCGAUAGAAUGAACACCUGGGGAUGGAGCAGCAUGAGCUGUAACUCACCUGACCAUUGAGAAUCUGGACCGGUUGCCUACAGUUCACAGCCAAGCUUCUUGGGCACAGCAGAGUCACUGCUUCAGAGACAGAAAAAUGGUUUCAUCCCCACCACAGCCUCACCGGAUGCACAACUGUGGCUCUUUGAUGGCACACUUUCAUAAUUUUCUAAUUGUAUUUGAAGCAGUUUCAAUGGUGACAUAUAAUCAUAACUCUCUAACUCUUGGGGACACCAUAGGCAAGUCCUUCUUUAUGCCCUAAAACGUAGAAUAAAAAAUGCUAAAGCAUUAUUUCUGGACAAGGAAGGAAUUCAGGAAUUCGGUGUAUGUUGCGUGAUUCUACCUUUGUUACAAUCUGUAUAAUUAUAUUUUCUACGAAGGGAUAUGCCUUGCUUAAGAAUAAUGGUCACAGAUUAUUAAUUCUGUUUGUUUAUUAUGAAAAGAAAGGCAUGUCCCAGGUCAAUGCUCAAUAGUCUCUACUCUGAGGGCUUCUGAAGAUUCCCUAGAACAGCAGGAUGUCCUUGCCUCGGGGACCUAAUGCUUAUUUACCUUGGUGUCCCUGAAGGAAACCUCAUCAAAACCUGCACUGACACUCUAUUUUGUUGCCUAGUGCUUCCUGUUAGGAAGGCUUUAUCUCACAGUCCCAUGGCCUUAUUAGUCUGUCAUCUGUUAAGAAAAGGUAGUGAUCACAUUUAGGUUCAGUACAAAAAGCAGAGCUUGGAUGACAGCUGGGUUUACAUUCUAGUUCUACCACCUACUACACACAUGCCUAGGCCAGUCACUAAACCCCUCUGAGCCUUCAUUUCCUUGUCUUUUUAAAAUUGAAUUAUAGUCAGUUGACAACGUGGUGUUAAUUCCUGGUGUACACCAUAGUGACUGAAUUUUACAUAUAUAUAUGUGUGUAUAUAUAUAUAUAUAUUCCAUUUCAUAUUCUUCUUCAUUAUAGGUCAUUAUAAGGUAUUAGAUGUAGUUCCCUGUGCUCUACAGUAGGACCUUGCUGUUUAUCUAUUUUAUAUAUAGUAGUAAAUAUCUGCAAAUCUUAAACUCACAAUUUAUCCCUUCCUCCCCCCUUUUCCCCCUGGUAACCAUAAGUUUAUUUGCUGUGUCUGUGAGUCUAUCUCUGUUUUGUAAAUAAGUUCAUUU